rnacentral:tRNA from 1 species
CGGGCGGUGGCUCAGCCUGGUAGAGCACCACGUUCGGGACGUGGGGGUCGGAGGUUCAAAUCCUCUCCGCCCGACCA